ACGCUGGCGGCGCGCCUAACACAUGCAAGUCGAACGAAGAACCUGUGGAAUGCGACUUCGGUCAAAUGAAGCUUGUUCUUAGUGGCGGACGGGUGAGUAACACGUGAGCAACCUGCCUUUCAGAGGGGGAUAACGUUUGGAAACGAACGCUAAUACCGCAUAACGUAUUCUUUGGGCAUCCUUAGAAUACCAAAGGAGCAAUCCGCUGAAUGAUGGACUCGCGUCUGAUUAGAUAGUUGGUGAGGUAACGGCCCACCAAGUCGACGAUCAGUAGCCGGACUGAGAGGUUGAACGGCCACAUUGGGACUGAGACACGGCCCAGACUCCUACGGGAGGCAGCAGUGGGGAAUAUUGCGCAAUGGGGGCAACCCUGACGCAGCAACGCCGCGUGAAGGAUGAAGGUCUUCGGAUUGUAAACUUUUGUCUUACGGGAAGAACAAGGACGGUACCAUAGGAGGAAGCCACGGCUAACUACGUG
rnacentral:rRNA from 1 species